GAAACAAAGCCCCAAAAAAUUGGGCCCUCUUUAGACUUUAAGAAGCCCAAGCUGAGCCCAAAAGAGAUGAGGCCUAUUUGUAUAAUGGAACCACAUUAAGGAAGCGAAAACGCACUAGACGCCUGAGCCUCAGCGACAGAAGGGAAGAAGAAGAAAAAGAAGAAGAUGAUAUACCGGAAAUGGAGCCUGUUAACUGGACCAGUCGCGAUAUUGGGAGGCAUAGUGGGCACCGUAGUCGUCGGCCACUACCUUCUCAUUGAGAACGAUUGGAUGAAGUCGGAGCCAAGGAAGGCAGAUGCAUCCACUUCAAGCAAAUAAGAGAGGAAGGUGAAGAGUUGCAUUUUCAGUGCGACCCAAGCUUUUUUGCUUUCUGUCUAUAUUUCAUGAACAUGUUCUGCAAACUUGUGGUGAUGUUGCACUUUCAGAUGUGACUUGUUAGUUAAUAAUCCAGAAUUGAAAUGUGAGUUCCGAUUUGAAGGUUGUGGAGUAAUUUCCCUGCAUUUGUGUUCUCUGUUGUCCUAACAUUGCUUUGAUUUUGAAUCAAGCUAAGAAUCGAUGAAAUUCGAUUUGCUUUCGUUAUAA